GUGGAUUAGAUACCCUAGUAGUCCUAGCCGUAAACGAUGAACACUAGGCGUAGUCGGUAUCGACCCCGGCUGUGCCGUAGCCAACGCAUUAAGUGUUCCGCCUGGGGAGUACGGCCGCAAGGCUAAAACUCAAAGGAAUUGACGGGGGCCCGCACAAGCAGCGGAGCGUGUGGUUUAAUUCGUCGCAACGCGAAGAACCUUACCAGGGCUUGACAUGUGGCGGAAAACGGCGGAAACGUCGUCCUCCCGCAAGGGACCGUCAUGCAGGUGUUGCACGGCCGUCGCCAACU
rnacentral:rRNA from 1 species